AACUACCAGCCGAUAGGAUAGAAACUACCAGCAGACACGAGGAUAUAAACUACCAGCAGACAGGAUAGAAACUACCAGCAGACAGGACAGAAACUACCAGCCGAUAGGAUAGAAACUACCAGCAGACACGAGGAUAUAAACUACCAGCAGACAGGAUAUAAACUACCAGCAGACAGGAUAUAAACUACCAGCUGAUAGGAUAGAAACUACCAGAAGACACGAGGAUAUAAACCAACAGCAGACAGGAUAGAAACUACCAGUAGACAGGUUAGAAACUACCAGCAGACAGGAUAGAAACUACCAGCAGACAGGAGGAUGUAAACUACCAGCAGACUGGAGUACACAAACUACCAGCUGACAGGAUAUAAACUACCAGCAGACAGAAUAUAAACUACCAGCAGACUGGAGGACACAAACCACCAGCUGACAGGAUAUAAAUUACCAGCUGUGAUGAUUCUGCUCUGUCCCUGGCCUGCUCUGCUUAAUUGGUUCCAAGGCUCUCCACUUCCCACAGCUGUUUCCACUCUCCUGAUGAGGCUCACUGGCUUUAAAAGGCUCAUUCUGAGACUUGGUCUUCGCUGGAGCAUCACGCCUUCUGGACCUUACCCAACCUCCUUGCCAGUGUCAGCCUCCUGGAAUCAGCUUACAAGUUGGACUCACCUGUGGAACUCACUGUUGGAGUUUUUGGACUGCCUCUUCUGCUUUUUGAUUCUUGGAACCUCAGGACUCUAUUGCCACGUGCCUCCUCCCAAGUUGUCUGCCUCCAGAGUUACUGUAAGCUACCACAACAAAACCCUUUAACCUCAAGAUCUUUUUGUCUAAUAACUCCUGCUGAGAUUCAUCCUGCCUCUCUUUGUGUUUUCAGUUCUUGCUGAACCUAGCCUCCCCGGAUCUUGUCCCCUUGGUUGCACAUUCUAGUUUUUUUGUUGUUCACCACAUUGUAAAUAAAUCACUUGAAUUUUA